rnacentral:lncRNA from 1 species
GUCUCGCUCUGUCGCCCAGGCUGCAGUGCAGGGGUGCAAUCUCCUCUUCCUGCAACCUCUGCCUCCUGGGUUCAAGCGGUUCUUGUGCCUGAGCCUCCCGAGUAGCUGGGAUUACAGGAGUGAGCCACCAUGCCCAGCUAAUUUUUGUAUUUUUAGUAGAGUUGGUGUUUCACCAUGUUUCCCGGGCUGGUCUUGAACUCCUGACCUCAGGUUAUCUGCCUGCCUCAGCCUCCCAAAGUGCUGGGAUUACAGGCAUGAGCCACCGCGCCCAGCGGAAACGCAGAUUUUGAUUCAGCAGGUGUGGGGCAAGGCGGGAGAUUCUGCCUUGCCAUGAGCGCCCAGGUUUGCAGCUGCUGGUGGUCCAUUCCCCAUACCUUGAAAGGCAAGGGGAAGUCCCUCCGCCUGUCGUCCAGGAAGCCGGGUAUUUAUCCACCAAUCUCUCAGCCCAUGGCUGAGGGCUGCAUUAGGGGGUGUUAAUCCCCACUCCUGCACCCCAGCUCUCAGAAAGCCGGCAGGCUGAGUUGCCCGUGCGGGUCAAAGAAAGUCUCAGGUCCCCAUGCACAACAAUGCGGAGUGCCUAGGGCCAAAGGGAGGGGUGGAGACUUCUGCUCCCCCAUCCUUCAUUUCACUCCCUCUUAGGCUUUUUUUCCCCACUAGGUUGGAGGUGAAGCCGGCCUGUUUAUUUCUCCGUAGUAACUUUUUUUUUUUUUUCAUACGGAGUCUCGCUCUGUCUCCCAGUCUGGAGUGCAGUGGCGCGAUCUCGGCUCACUGCCUCCCAGGUUCAAGCGUUUCUCCUGCCUCGGCCUCCCAAAGUGCUGGCAUUACAGGCGUGAGCCACUGCGCCCUCCUGUAAUUUUCUUCAGUAGUAGUUAGAAUAAGCAAUCUCUUGAUCCCCGCCCCUCUCCUUAAGGAAGAUGCUUUUAAGACCACACGCACGUAUUUUAUAACAAACAUAAGCUCCCCGGGCGGGGGUGGGGGAACGAGAAGGCUCGCUUCCUUUUUGCCAGAGCCUAUCAAAGCUCUGCAUUACACAAAUUGUCAAGUCCACCAAGGGCAAGCGCGCGCUAAUCCUGUUUUAGCGAUUCAUUUCCUUUCCCGAGCAAAUGCCUCCGGGCAUCUAUGAAUGCGCCCUUUCAAGGAAAGCGAAAGCCCAAAGCGAGCGGAGACCGUUUCUUUGCAGAGAAAAUGUUUCUCGCGUUGGAAGGAAAGCUGAUGAACUCUAGCAGGGCGUUGCCCCCUCCCAGGAGGCCAGUUUUCCUGCACACAACAGCGGCUGACAGUUCGGGGAGGGCCCCGGGCCGCGCACAGGCCCUCACAGGCCGGCGGGCGGGGCGCGCUGUUUGUCGCCCGGGCCCGCCUGGGGCUCAGCGAAUCACGGAAAGCGAAAACCGCCUCGCGGGAGGCGUGGGCUGAGCGCAUCCCUAGGGGUCGGCGCCACCCUCCUCGGUCACUCAAGUGGACGGGUGGGGAGCCUGCGGCUGGCCACCUCCGCACCCUCGGAGCGCUCCAGGGGGCCCCAACCCAAGCCCUGCACCUACUCUUGAAGGCGACGGCCGCGUUGUUGACCAGUACGUUGAGCCCCCCGUACUCCUUGCGCAGGAAGUCGCGCAGGGCGCGGAUGCUCUGCAAGUCGUCGAUGUCCAGUUGGUGGAAGCGCGGGCUCAGGCCCUCCGCCUGCAGCUGCUGCACGGCCGCCUGGCCCCGCGCCACGUCCCGCGCGGUGAGCACCACAUCCCCAGAGAACUGUCGGCACAGUUCGCGCGCGAUGGCCAAGCCGAUGCCCCUGUUGGCCCCGGUCACCAGCGCCACGCGGCUGCAGGACGACAUGGCUGAGCGGGGAGCGCGGGGCACCUGCGUGGAGGGCGGACCGGGCUUCGGACCACCUGGGGCGCGCCCCGAGGAGCCCAGCUAGUGUCAAUGCCGCCGCGCAGACUAAGUUCUGGGAUCCAGUGCUGCGAGUCUUAAAGAAAAAGGCCCCGGCUCCGGUCCCUCCCCUCCGAGGAGGGGCCGUCUGUGCCCUCUGUUCCAACUCCCGGGCCCGCCCCCUGCCCACGCUGCGCCCUUCAGGAUCCGGGCUCUGAGCCGCGGGGUGAUCUGCGAGGUGUCCGAAGCCAAAUCGGACCUUGAUGGGUCAGUCGGGGGCUCCAGAUUCUUGGCAACUGGACUGAAGAAAUUAUUUUGGGAAAACCCCAAAGUGAGAAAAACAAGUGCUGAGUAAUUUUCUUGGGUGUGCGCCCAUCAUGCACUGCAAAAUGCGAAUGUUUGCUUUUUCCUAAGAUGCAGUGACUUACUUAGACACAGUAACUGCUUCUCUGGACAUAGGUUGCCUUGCUUGCUUAAAAGGAACUCAAGAGAGGGAACUAGAUGCCCUGUGAGCGCACUUAGCAGGUGUGGGCAGGCGACAUCGCUCUGGGAUUCCCAGUGAAUGUGCCCCCAAGUGGGAGGGAAUGUUUUUAUUUAAUCCUACCUAACUCCUACGGGUGCUAAAAGUGUCUGCAUUUAGGUUUGUCCAGGGAGGAUAUAGAUCUAUAAAGAUCUGGAUUGAUCAUAUGUUCUCACAGAUCUGUGUACCGGCAAAGAAAGUUAAACCAAAUUCCCAAAGGUGUGUCAAGCUGUGGGCACAAAAUUAGAGUCUCAUCCAUCGUCUUCAGUGUAAACUGAGUUGUUUGAUCAGUGACUUUGAGAUUUGGGGAGAACCAUGACAUCAUCACGACUCAGCCUUUUCCAUGCAGAGCUGGCUAACCCGCCUGUGUCUCUGUUACUCUGACUCUACCUUCUCUCUCAAGUCCUUACUUGAGGUUCCGGAGGUGGGCCCCUGCUGUGAUCUCCUACUGUGCCUCCCCC